UGGGGAAUCUUGGACAAUGGGGGCAACCCUGAUCCAGCCAUGCCGCGUGAGUGAUGAAGGCCUUAGGGUCGUAAAGCUCUUUCGCCUGUGAAGAUAAUGACGGUAGCAGGUAAAGAAACCCCGGCUAACUCCGUGCCAGCAGCCGCGGUAAUACGGAGGGGACUAGCGUUGUUCGGAAUUACUGGGCGUAAAGAGUUCGUAGGCGGACUAGCAAGUUAGAGGUGAAAUCCCAGGGCUCAACCUUGGAACUGCCUUUAAAACUGCUAGUCUAGAGUUCGAGAGAGGUGAGUGGAAUUCCAAGUGUAGAGGUGAAAUUCGUAGAUAUUUGGAGGAACACCAGUGGCGAAGGCGGCUCACUGGCUCGAUACUGACGCUGAGGUGCGAAAGUGUGGGGAGCAAACAGGAUUAGAUACCCUGGUAGUCCACACCGUAAACGAUGAAUGCCAGUCGUCGGGUAGCAUGCUAUUCGGUGACACACCUAACGGAUUAAGCAUUCCGCCU
rnacentral:rRNA from 1 species